AACGAACGCUGGCGGCAUGCCUAACACAUGCAAGUCGAACGAGACCUUCGGGUCUAGUGGUGCACUGGUGCGUAACGCGUGGGAACCUGCCCUUAGGUUCGGAAUAACUUCCCGAAAGGGGUGCUAAUACCGGAUAAUGUCUUCGAACCAAAGAUUUAUCGCCUUUGGAUGGGCCUGCGUUGUAUUAGCUAGUUGUUAGGGUAAAAGCCUACCAAGGCGACGAUCCAUAGCUGGUUUGAGAGGCUGAUCAGCCACACUGGGACUGAGACACAGCCCAGACUACUACGGGAGGCAGCAGUGGGGAAUAUUGGACAAUGGGCGAAAGCCUGAUCCAGCAAUGACUCGUGAGUGAUGAAGGCCUUAGGGUUGUAAAGCUAUUUUACACGGGAUGAUAAUGACAGUACCGGGAGAAUAAGCUCCGGCUAACUCCGUG
rnacentral:rRNA from 1 species